CAUUAGGAAGCUAAAAAGUCCUAGCGUCAGCCUUUUAAGCUGAAGUUUGGUGAUUCCGCCCCACCCCCAAUGA
rnacentral:tRNA from 1 species